rnacentral:lncRNA from 1 species
AAAGACUAAAAUUUCUUAAAAUUAUAAUAAAUGAAAAAAUUUAUUUAACUAUUUAAUUAAAUUAUUCUUGCAACUACAAAUAAAAUAUAAAAUAAUUAACUACAAAUAACAUAAAAUAGUAUAAUUAAACUCAAUUAAAAAAUAAAAAAUAAUUAAUUACAAAUAACAAAAAAUGAUAUGUAAUUAAAAUUAAUUAAAAUAAUUACUAAUUACUUAAAUUAUAUUUAAUUAAAUAAAAUUAAAAUAAUGAAAAUAAUAUUUUAAAACAUAUUAAAUAAAUUAAAAUAAACAAAAAUAAGGAAAGAUUUUGCUAUUAUUGAGGUGAGGCCAAUAGCUUUCAAGUAAAAAAAUAUAUUAAAUUAUUCGAAAGUGAGGUAGAUUUGAAAAGUGGAUGGUUAUUUGAGUAAUAGGGAGGAAAUUAGGGCAAAAGGAAAAAAAAUAUAACAUUUAAUUGAAUUUGUAUGAGAUGUCUUAUUUUUGCAUUAGAUUAUCAUACGAUGAUUGAUGGGCAAUUCGUGCAACAAUCAUUACAGUUGUGUUUGACUGUUUGUCACAAUUAUUCUCGUAUUCUCUAGAUCCAUUAAAGUUUGAUGGACUUUUUUCUCUCUCUCAAAUUAUCGAUGAAAAUUUGUUAUUGUUCAUUAUAACUUUAAAAAAAAAUUAUUGACACCAAUUGAAUGAUAAAUAAAUGAGUAUAAAAUUAUAAAGAAAAAAAUAAAGAGAUUAAUUAUUGUGUACACCCUUUAACUUCUAUGAUAUUUUUUAUACUAGAUAUCGAUUAAAUUAAAAAAC